rnacentral:lncRNA from 1 species
GCUGCUAAGGUCCAGCCCAAAGACAUUGCUUCUGUUGCCUCUAGGUAUCUCAUGCGCCACUGUUGCUUCUGUAGUCAAUGCUUUUGAAUCUCCUGGCAAUUCCUACAAUCACAAAUCACAAAGCUGGAUCAGUAAACUGUUAACUAGUCAUCUUAGAAGAGGAAAUUUACACAAUAAUGAGUCCUCCCUUUCUCGGACGUGUACAAAUUUCCAUGCGAAAUGUCUCUUCUACUGCCUAUUCGAACUAAAUUCCAGCAACCCAACUCUGCACAUAAUUCACAACAUAAAUCAGCAAUCCAGCAAUCUUAACAAUUGCAAGCCACAUGGACAGUUUAAACAAAUCAAAUAAUGAAUCAAAAA